rnacentral:rRNA from 1 species
CAGCCGCCGCGGGAAUACGUAGGUGGCAAGCGUUGUCCGGAAUUAUUGGGCGUAAAGGGCUCGCAGGCGGUUUCUUAAGUCUGAUGUGAAAGCCCCCGGCUCAACCGGGGAGGGUCAUUGGAAACUGGGAAACUUGAGUGCAGACGAGGAGAGUGGAAUUCCACGUGUAGCGGUGAAAUGCGUAGAGAUGUGGAGGAACACCAGUGGCGAAGGCGACUCCCUGGUCUGUAACUGACGCUGAGGAGCGAAAGCGUGGGGAGCGAACAGGAUUAGAUACCCGGGUAGUCCCUGUCUCUUAUAC